GCCUCGGUAGCUCAGUCGGCAGAGCGCGUGCCUUUUAAGCCCGUGGCCGCGGGUUCGAGCCCCGCCCGAGGUA
rnacentral:tRNA from 1 species